rnacentral:lncRNA from 1 species
GGCCUUUGACUGUCCCGAACGUCCCGAUCGACAGCACUGCCGGGCACCAGUUGCUGCGGAGCUCGUCAUCCUGAUGAGGUUCACCGUAACCAGAAAUGUCAGCUGCUGCUGCAAGAUGGAGAGAAAAUGUGAUUUCCAGUGGAAGUGUCAAAUUAUGCACUGAAUAUUCUCAGGCUGUAGAGAGGUUGAGCGUGCCACUUACGUCGACCCCAACGUGCGCCGAACCCUGAUCUCCUGUUGCUGCAAUGUGACCCGUGAAGCCUGGUGUGCACCCGGCUGAAAUCCUGAGGCAGCAAAAACAAGAAGAAUUAGCCUCCUGUUCAUAUGCCAUUCAUUGAGAGUCACAAGUUGAGACGAACACAGAAGAGAAUGCUUGCGCGGUGCGUGCGUACCCUCAUGAGGUGCUUGUGGUGCUCUCUUGCAACAAAAAGUUGAGGAAUUCUAUGGAGUGGACACGGUAGCCAACUGAUGGAUGGCACGGGCCCAUAUAU